UACGUAGGGACCAAGCGUUGUUCGGAUUUACUGGGCGUAAAGGGCGCGUAGGCGGCUUGACAAGUCACUUGUGAAAUCUCCGGGCUUAACUCGGAACGGCCAAGUGAAACUGUCAUGCUAGAGUGCAGGAGGGGCAAUCAGAAUUCUUGGUGUAGCGGUGAAAUGCGUAGAUAUCAAGAGGAACACCUGAGGUGAAGACGGGUUGCUGGGCUGACACUGACGCUGAGGCGCGAAAGCCAGGGGAGCAAACGGG
rnacentral:rRNA from 1 species